rnacentral:rRNA from 1 species
GAUGAACGCUGACAGAAUGCUUAACACAUGCAAGUCUACCAAGAAUCACUUCGGUGAGGAAUGGUGGCGGACGGGUGAGUAACGCGUAAAUAAUCUGCCCUUUAGACUGGGAUAUCCUUUGGAAACGAAGGUUAAUACCGGAUAUUAUGAGAUGGACGCAUGUUCAACUUAUGAAAGCUAAAUGCACUAGAGGAGGAGUUUGCGUCACAUUAGCUAGUUGGUGAGGUAAAGGCUCACCAAGGCCACGAUGGGUAGCCGGCCUGAGAGGGUGAACGGACACAAGGGAACUGGGACACGGUCCUUACUCCUACGGGAGGCAGCAGUGGGGAAUAUUGGACAAUGGACCAAAAGUCUGAUCCAGCAAUUCUGUGUGCACAAUGAAGGUCUUCGGAUUGUAAAGUGCUUUCAGUAGGGAAGAAAAAAAUGACGGUACCUACAGAAGAAGCGACGGCUAAAUAUGUGCCAGCAGCCGCAGUAAUAC